GUUUCUUUAUUGGGAAAGCCCAAAUAACCAUCCCCCAUUCCGUCGGUUGUUCUAAAAACCCCAUUUCAUUUUUUUUUCUCCCAAACAAAACCCCAAUCCGAGUUCUCUCUCCUUCCCGUGAGGACAAACUCAAGAGAAACCCCAAACCCCAUUUCUCCCUCAUCCUCCCUAUGAAACCCCAACUCCCCUGAGUUCGUCGGCCCACAGCUCGCCACCCUAUUCUCCAUCUCUUUCUUUGUUGUGCGUUGGUUGUUUCCUCGCUACUGUUGUUGAUUGUGGUUGGUAGUGUUGUCGCCAGUACGAUUUUCCCCUCCCCUGUUCUUGUCGUCCCUGCUGCUCUGUUUUGGUUUGUUGCUGCCACUUCGAGCGUGUAGUUGUUAUUGAUGUUGCUGUGUUUGUUCGGUGUUGAUUGAGGUGCUGAUGCCACCAAUCUGCUCCCCGUAUUGAUUACGAGUUCGUAGAGGAACCUUUUUGAUUUGAGAUUGAGAUUCAUUGAAUGUGAUUGUUGAUAAGGAAUCUAAAAAGGGAAAGUAGCCUUGUCUGAGUCGACGGAUGAAGUAACACGAACCAUGACCCAUGGAUUGUGAACCUUGGGGGCCCCACAAGGAAGCCUGCCCAUUGCUCUGUUGGGCGAAAUCCGACGAUAUAUCAGGUAAUGUGAAACAUGUGGAUGGCUGAUUGAAUCAACGAAAAAAGGUACUCGAGACUUGUCGUGGUUAGUGGCUAAAAGUAAAGCGAAUGGUUGGGUGACGACCUCCACUGUUGGAGUGUAAGCUUAGUCUCCUCCGCCGCAUUCUUUUUCCCCUUGGUUAAAAGAAAGUAAUCUCAAGUUGUAUAAGUUCUAUCGAUAUUGGAUUCCUGGUAAGGAAUCGUAUCGUGGUAAGUUGUUUCGAUAUUGAAUUCCUGAUAAGGAAUCGUAUCAGAUAAGUAAUGAAUGUUUAUUUAGUAUAUGAAUAUGAAUACUGAUAUUGGUUUCCUGAGAAGAAGGCAUAUCAUGGUAUGUGAUACUAAUGUUGGAUUUCCGGUAAGGAAUUGUAUCUUGUUAUGUGGAUUCCCGAUAAGGAAUCAUUUUAGUAAAAGUUGUUAUGAUAUUGAUUGCCUGAAAAGAGGUUGUUUAUAAAAUAUAAGAAAGUGAUCGAUUGAUAGAGUAUGAAAGUUUAAGUUUGGAUUUCCGUUAAGAAAUUGACUAAAGGUAAUGAAGAAUAUUGUUUCUAUCAAAGUUAGUGAUCUCAAAUUCCUAUUAUGGAAUCGUGGUAAGUUGAAAGUGUUGAGCCACUAUGGUUUUGAUGAUGACUAACUAAAGUAAUAACUAACAAGGUUUAUAAGUUUUAUGUGUGCAAGGUUUAGUGAUUAAUAAUGGUGCUUUCUAAAGAUAAUAAGUGAAGUUCCUGAGUUGGAACUCCAAGAGAAGAAUGAAGUUCCUAAGUGAUUUUUAUGAUUAUAGUUCUUGUUCAAACAGUUCCUCAAGGAAUAGUCUACUGUUCCUCAAGGAACUGUCUGCUAUUCCUCAAGGAACUGUCUGCUGUUCCUCAAGGAAUUGUCUGCCAUUCUUCAAGGAAUUGUCUACUGUUCCUCAAGGAACUAUUCACAGUUCCUAAGGAGCGUUGUUCCGUUCCAGAUGCAUUUGGUUUCACAGUUCCUCAGCAACUACCUGCUGCUCAGGUCCUCUGGAACUACCUGCUCCGUUCCUCUAGAACUCAUUCGUGUUUUAGAGUUCCUUCAAGGAAUGGGACGUAUUAAUCUUCAGAGUUGAAGAGUUAAAGGGAUGACAUGAAGUCUAAGUUCAAGAGUAUGUACUUAGUAUUUAUGUAAGUAAUUUACGUUGCUUUAUACUAAGGAACUACAUGGAAUCUAAUUAAUGCAACAGUAGUUUUAAAAGGUAUUUAACAGAGAGUUUUCAGGAAAUAUUGUUAAUAAAUAAAAUAGUUUUUAUUUUUAAUAAAAAUUCUUUCUUUAUUACUGAAUCAAUAAAAAUGGAUUUCCUAAAUAAAUUCCUUAUUUCUCUCAACUGUUUAAAACCACGUACUGUUAGUGGAUUGUCCAUUACUUUGCUUGUCCCUCAAGAAGUGUGAACGUGGGAAAAUGAUUCUACGUGGGUUACUGCUUCACACUUAGUGGAGGAACAAAUGGAACUGGCAUGAGAAGACUUCACUAUAAAAAGAGAAGUCUGCCUCAUUACAAUCCACCAACUAAAAACAUAUUUCUAUUGCUAAAUCUUAAGUGUUUUCUGAAAAGGUCUGUUGCACUAUUAAGUGAGUUCCUAAGUUCCUUAAGUAUUUGAGUUCAACGUAAUUACUAGUGUUUUUACACAAUUUGAGUUGUAUUUUGGGGAACAAGGGUUGAGUGACUCUUAUAACGACUUAAAGUUGAGUCAGUGAGUAGAGGCUUCGGAGUAGAAGCAAGAGAGAGGAGAGUUCCAGUAAUCAGAGGGGAUUAUUGUGGGAACUUGAGUUCGAGAGGAACUCGAGUUGUAGAGUGUUAUUGUAAUAGAGUGAUUGCAAUAAUAAAGUUUAUGAGAUUUUCACUUCUUGAUAG